rnacentral:rRNA from 1 species
UACGUAGGAUGCAAGCGUUGUCCGGAAUUAUUGGGCGUAAAGAGCGCGCAGGCGGUAUGACAAGUCAGAUGUGAAAGAGGCCGGCUUAACCGGCAAGGGUCAUUUGAAACUGUCAGACUAGAGUGCAGCAGAGGAUAGUGGAAUUCCCGGUGUAGUGGUGAAAUGCGUAGAUAUCGUGAGGAACACCAGAGGCGAAGGCGGUUACCUGGACAGUUACUGACGCUCAGGCACGAAAGCGUGGGGAGCAAAAGGG